GGAAGAUAGGUGCAGAGAUGAGCUGAGGGGACACCUCCCACCCCGCCCCCAUCCCUCAGGUCCCGGGCUCCCGCCCCUGCCCUGAACCAGGAUGCGAUACGCGACGGCGCCCCUCACCCUUCCCUGCGCCCAAGCACCGCCGGGGCAUCCCGGGGGCUCCCUCCCCACUUUUCCCCGGGCCGCUGGAUGAGCAGCAGAAGCAGCAGCAGCAGUUGCAGCAACAGGCCUGGGAUCGGCGGGAAGAGGAAGGAGCGCCCGGAGCCCAGGCUCCACAGAGCCCGCGCCCGCCCCGUCCUGGAGCCCGCGGCGCGCGGGGCCCGGCUCCCUAACGCCCCCUUACCCGAGGCGGGAGCGAGGCGGUCGGCGCCGUCCCCCGUCGCCACAGCCACUGCAGCUGGCCGCGCCGGGCGAGUGGGAGGGGUGGCGGAGUGGAGGAUGCUACUCCCCGACUGAAGGGAGAGGAAGAAACGGAAACAGGAACCGCGGCCGCUGCUUAACGGAGCCUUCGGCGCCACUGACUGAGGGAAAGCGCAAGGCGGCGCGAGCCAGGCAGAGGCUGACAGCGCGAGACCGAGCGCGAGCCGGGUCCAGGGCGCGCGACCCCGAGCAGCGCCGGCCCCAUUCCGCAAUCAUAGGAAGGAUGAUAUUGUUGCUCCCACAAACAAGACGAUGGGACCUUGAAUAAUGAAAGCCACUUUUGAGCAAAGUCCUGGUUCAAAAGCUAGAGCUAAUCUUCCCCACCUGGAGGGUGCCUCAGGAAGCCUUACUUUGAAAGAAGGCUUUGCUAAGCUGCCCAUGUUAGCUUUGCCGAGCAGUCAGGAGGCAUACAUGACCACAUGCUGUGAGACUACUAUUGCUAAAGAUGGAAACUUCUCUUCGAAACAGAUGGAAACCACUACAGAACACCACAACCAAUCAAUAUGCAGGGUUAUGGAACCCAGUCCCAAUGCAUACAUCUGUAAAAACACUCCUGCACCCAAGGCUCAGGGAACAUUGCUGAAGAGGGGAUGGAAAGACUGUAAGAGCCAGAGCAUCAGGGAGUUUGCUAUGAGAUUAUGUCUUCUAGUAACAUCAGAAGCUACACCAAAUGUGAUCUGAACAAGGAUGACACCAAAUGGACAUGCCAAAACAAGGGAAAAGCCCAGGAGGCCUCAACCCUACACAAAGAACUAUAGGCAAUAGAGGAGAGCUGGGAACAAGACAGGUGGUCUUCCCCAGAGAAGAGCACACCAGUUGGUUGUCCUGUGCCAAAUGGUCAGUCCCGAAAACAGGCAUACAAAUAGCAUUAUACAAACUCAAUGGGUUAUAUUUAGGAAUAUAUAUAUA
rnacentral:lncRNA from 1 species